CGUACAGGUCUCCGUANGUGAACCUGCGGAGGGAUCAUUACAAGAACGCCCGGGCUUCGGCCUGGUUAUUCAUAACCCUUUGUUGUCCGACUCUGUUGCCUCCGGGGCGACCCUGCCUUCGGGCGGGGGCUCCGGGUGGACACUUCAAACUCUUGCGUAACUUUGCAGUCUGAGUAAACUUAAUUAAUAAAUUAAAACUUUUAACAACGGAUCUCUUGGUUCUGGCAUCGAUGAAGAACGCAGCGAAAUGCGAUAAGUAAUGUGAAUUGCAGAAUUCAGUGAAUCAUCGAAUCUUUGAACGCACAUUGCGCCCCCUGGUAUUCCGGGGGGCAUGCCUGUUCGAGCGUCAUUUCACCACCCAAGCCUCGCUUGGUAUUGGGCAACGCGGUCCGCCGCGUGCCUCAAAUCGUCCGGCUGGGUCUUCUGUCCCCUAAGCGUUGUGGAAACUAUUCGCUAAAGGGUGNUCGGGAGGCUACGCCGUAANACAACCCCAUUUCUAAGGUUGACCUCGGAUCANGUAGGGAUACCCGCUGAACUUAAGCAUAUCA
rnacentral:rRNA from 1 species